rnacentral:rRNA from 1 species
GCACAAGCGGAGGAACAUGUGGUUUAAUUCGAUGAUACGCGAGGAACCUUACCUGGGCUUAAAUGUAGAGUGCAUUUUUUAGAGAUAGAAAUUCCCUUCGGGGCUUUCUGCAAGGUGCUGCAUGGUUGUCGUCAGCUCGUGCCGUGAGGUGUCGGGUUAAGUCCCAUAACGAGCGCAACCCUUAUCGUUAGUUGCCAGCUGGUAAAGCAGGGGACUCUAGCGAAACUGCCACCGUAAGGUGAGAGGAAGUGGGGAUGACGUCAAAUCAGCACGGCCCUUAUGUCCAGGGCUACACACGUGUUACAAUGGCCGGUACAGAGGGCAGCUACCUGUUGACAGGAUGCGAAUCUCGAAAGCCGGUCUCAGUUCGGAUCGGAGUCUGCAACCCGACUCCGUGAAGCUGGAUUCGCUAGUAAUCGCGCAUCAGCCAUGGCGCGGUGAAUACGUUCCCGGGCCUU